AUAUUUACAAUCCACAGGGAUGCCCUAAUUUUUUCCUAAGUCACUCGUUUUCAAGUUUUCGACUUAGCGAGCUUUAUUUAUUUUGAUUUCUGAUUUUUUUUCUUUUUGUUCAUUCUUUUUGUUGAAACAAAUCGUGUGACACUUGUCCGUUUGAUUUGGAAGGGGUUGUAACUGCCUCGCGCCUCUAUGGGUGAGGGACAACCGUUUGGAAUUUGGUUUUCGACCUCUUGUGAGG
rnacentral:lncRNA from 1 species